UGGAGUCCGUGACGCAGGUGGCCGCGGCGCGCUGCAGCUCCUCGGGCUGCACCGGGCUGAUGGUGACGAAGUCGCGGGGCCGCGGGCCAAGCAGCUGCGUGCGGGCGGAGGCCGGCCCGGGACCCGGGGCCGCGGCCAGCUUGAGGCGCAGAGUGCGCAGGAAGCGGCGCAGGCGGUCAGGGGGGCAGUCGGAGAGCAGCAGCUGAACAGCGCCGGUCCGGGGAGCGCCGUCGGCGGGAAGCCGCAGAGUGCUGCGCCCGGACGAGGCGAAGCGCGUGAAGAGGCGCACGGCGCGCAGUGGAAAGCACCGCGGCCGCUCCACGGGCCCGGGCGCCUGCAGCCUCAGCAUCAACUCGCGGCGCUCGUUACGACCCAGUCUCAGCUCCGCGGUGCGUAGGGCCUGGCGCCUUCGCGGCUGCCCGCCCGGGCUCAGCUCCUCCACAGCAACACGGCACCGCAGCUCCGCCUCCGCGCAUUCCGCUGCCACUGCCUGGGUGCCCGACAGCAUCGCCACCAACUCUGCAGGCCUGCAAAAAGACCGGAGCGCAGGGGUCAUCACAGGUGGUGUAGAGAGCGGCGGAUGGGCAGCGUCAAGUACACCCAGGGUUGGGGAACCUCGGCUGUGCGACAAGGGCCACAGAAGAAGGGAUCCCCUGAGCAGAAAAGAAGCCUGCUUCCAAGAGACCCAGGGCGAGCACGAGAAUCCUGAGUCUUCUCGCCAGGAAGCAGGGGACUCUCACGUGUGGAGGUUAACAGUGAGUCUUUGGAGCGAAAGGAGUCGGAGGAAAGCUAGAUACCGCCUGGCGAUGGAUUAACGGUCCUCAGACUCCGCCCUCCUCCCCGCCCCAGCGCCACCAGCCGUCAGCUGGAUCCUGAUUGGCCGAUGGAGGAAGGAGGCGGAGGCAGAGGGACUCCUCAAAUCUGGGGCCGGACUUCCUCACAUCUGGGGCUGGACUUCCUCACAUCUGGGGCCGGACUUCCUCCCUCUGGGCUUUGGGCCCUCUUCGCAUCCGCGGGUCUUCUGCUCGCUGCUGCCGCCGAGAGGUCAAUUCCGAGUGAAGCGCAGCACUGCUCCUCGAUCUCCUCGCCUAAUCCAAAGCCUGGUUUUAACGCAAGCUGUCAGGAGGAACGGGUUUUCUUCACUAUGAAAUUUCCUCCUCCAGAACUCUUUCUAUACGUCUUAUCUGCUUUCUCCCACUGGCGGUCUCAGUCCAAUCCCCGGCUCACUAAUAAUAACGACGACAUCAGCACACGACUAGGUGGUUUACUAAUUGCACUUUCGGCGUUUUCUCAUUUGAUACUUGAAACAGCCAGCCCCUUCCUUCCUCUCUCCCUGCGGCCCUUUCUCGCUGUGCUUUUGCCCUCCCCGCCUUUACAGCCCUAAGCUUACAACAGUCUGGCAGAGGAGCUGAAAGGGUGUUUCGCGGUCUUCCAGCUUCCAGAGCACACCUCGUGUUGCUUCUUCUUUGGGCAGCUGACACUCAUUUUAUUGAACCUCUGGUACAGCUGAUUAUACCUCGUUGAAAUACUCUCUUAACUUCCACAACAUACUCCCCUCGUUUUUCCUACAUAUUGGCUGCUUCAUGUCUGUCUCCUUUGCUAAUCCCUUUCCCUCAACCAGACCUCUCAAUGUGGGAGGACUUUCUUUUUUUCCUAUCUUUUCCAAUCUCAUGACUUAAUUAUCAGCUACAUGCUGAUUCUCAAUAUUAUAACCCCAGCCUGCCCUUCUCCCCUGAACUCCAGACUGUAUUGCCAUUUGUCCUCCUGAUAUCUCCAUACAGAUGCCUAAAUGGCAUGUUUUUUUUAAAUUAAUUAAU